GACGAACGCUGGCGGCGUGCCUAACACAUGCAAGUCGAACGGAAAGGCCCUGCUUUUGUGGGGUGCUCGAGUGGCGAACGCGUGAGUAACACGUGAGUAAACUGCCCUUGACUUUGGGAUAAAUUCAGGGAACUGCGGCUAAUACCCGAUAGGAGCUCCUGCUGCGUGGUGGGGGAUGGAAAGUUUCGGCGGUUGGGGCUGGACUCGCGGGUUAUCAGCUUGUUGGUGGGGUAGUGGAUUACAAAGGUUUUGACGGGUAGCCGGCCUGGGAGGGGGACCGGGGACAUGGGGACUGAGAGACGGCCCAGGCGCCUACGGGAGGCAGCGGUGGGAAAUAUUGCACAGUGGGCCGAAGCCUGAUGCGGCAACGCUGCGUGCGGGAUGACGGGUUACGGGUUAUAAACCGCUGUCGCCUGAGACGAAGCGGGAGUGACGGUAAUGGGUAAAGAAGCACCGGCUAACUACGUG
rnacentral:rRNA from 1 species